AUGAGGCGGUCAACAAAUGAAGUGAGUCAGAGACGGCCUGAUACAGAAAGGAGGCUUGCUGAGCUGGCGGUGGAGAGGGUUCCCUGGGCGCGAGAGUUUCAGGUCACAGCUGUGAAAGUGCACCCGACAUACACAUCCCGGUGCCAUGACGGACCCAGGGGCCAAGGGUCAACAAAAGCGGUCAAAACCAGCUCACGGGAGAGUCUGCUUCUCUCUGGAGAUUGCUUCUUCUCUCUCUCUUUGCCUGGUCAACUCCUGGUGAUCUCCUGGGACUCAAGACACCUGACCUUCUCAAGACGGCUUCUCUGACUUACCCUUGCUCCUCUCCUAAGGCUUGAUUUCAUAAUGCCUUGUACUGUAUAGCAAUGAUUAUGGUUGUGAUUUAACAUGAGGGCAAGGACUGUGCCCACUGCUGCUGCUCACCCCCACGUCCCCAGUGCCUAGACCAGCACUUGGCAAAAGGCAC
rnacentral:lncRNA from 1 species